AAACCAGGACCUCAAGUGGUCAGGAUGAUUAUUGGGCCCAAAGCAUCCGUAGCCUGCUCUGUAAGUUUUCGGUUAAAUCUGUACGCUCAACGUACAGGCUGCCGGGAAUACUGCAGAGCUAGGGAGUGGGAGAGGUAGACGGUACUCGGGAGGAAGGGGUAAAAUCCUUUGAUCUCUCGAUGACCACCUGUGGCGAAGGCGGUCUACCAGAACACGUCCGACGGUGAGGGAUGAAAGCUGGGGGAGCAAACCGGAUUAGAAACCCCAGUAGUCC
rnacentral:rRNA from 1 species